UUUUUUUAAAUCUUGAAGAAGCGCUGAUUGGCUGUUGUACUGGAAUCAGUGCACAACAGCCAAUCAGCGCUUCUACAAGAUUUAAAAAAUA
rnacentral:miRNA from 1 species